AGCGGUGGAGCAUGUGGUCUAAUUAGAUGCUACGCGAAGAACCUCACCAGGACUUGACUUGCUCGUCGUAUUCUUCUGAAAGGGAGAAGUACAGCUAGGCUGGACGAUGCACAGGUGCUGCAUGGCUGUCGUCAGCUCGUGUCGUGAGAUGUUGGGUUAAGUCCCGCAACGAGCGCAACCAUUGCCCCAUGUUGCCAUCUUAGAAUAGCUUGGCUAUUUUAAGGGCACUCUUGGGGGACUGCCUGGGAUAACCAGGAGGAAGGUGGAGAUGACGUCAAGUCAGUACGGCCCUUAUGUCCUGGGCUACACACGUGUUACAAUGGAUGGUACAAAGGGUUGCCAACCCGUAAGGGGGAGCUAAUCUCAAAAAACCAUCCCCAGUUCGGAUAGAAGUCUGCAAUUCGACUUCUUGAAGCCGGAAUCGCUAGUAAUGGGAGAUCAGCUCGCUCCCGUGAAUACGUUCCCGGGUCUUGUACACACCGCCCGUCAAGCGAUGAAAGCCGGGGGUACCCGAAGUCCUAUGUCAGAU
rnacentral:rRNA from 1 species